rnacentral:rRNA from 1 species
GACGAAGGGGGCUAGCGUUGUUCGGAAUUACUGGGCGUAAAGCGUGUGUAGGUGGUUGUCCAAGUUGGAUGUGAAAGCCUUGAGCUCAACUCAAGAAAUGCAUUCAGGACUGGGCGGCUAGAGGACCGGAGAGGAUAGUGGAAUUCCCAGUGUAGUGGUGAAAUACGUAGAGAUUGGGAAGAACACCAGUGGCGAAGGCGGCUAUCUGGACGGUUUCUGACACUAAGACUCGAAAGCGUGGGGAGCAAACAGG